CAACAAUAACAAUUAACAACAACCUUUUUUUCCUUUCUUUUUUCCUUCACUUCAAAACCCCUUUCCCUUCAAACUUAUAAUUUCUUCUCCCAUGGCCGCCUUCCUCUUCCUAUCAUCAAUCUUUUCUUAAUUUUUCUUUCUUAUAUUUAUGAAGAACAUCAUCAUCAUCAUCUUCAAAAAUACCCUUCCCCAUCCUAAUUAUUCCCAUAAUUAAUUAUAUUACCAGCCUAAUUCUUCCCGAACUAACCAAAUUCAUAUGGCUGAUAAUAAUAGUUUCCUCCUUAAUCGUCCGGCGCCGCCCUUCGCAGGCGACACCACUUGGACCAAACUCUUCGUCGGAGGUUUGGCUUGGGAAACCCAAUCCCAUGAAAUGCACUCUUUUUUCCAACAAUUCGGAGACAUUCUUGAAGCUGUCAUUAUUCAAGAUAAACACACCGGAAAAUCCAAAGGCUACGGAUUCGUCACUUUUAAAGACCCUGAAUCCGCUAGAAGGGCAUGUGCAAAUCCAAACCCAAUUAUUUGUGGUAGAAGAGCUAAUUGUAACAUCGCCGCCUUUGGCCGCCCUCGUCCUCCGCCUCCGUCGCCGUCUUCCGGAGGAAGAAAUCAAAGUGGAAAUCUCCAAAGUACAACUCCUCCGGCGGUUGCAGGCUCUUACGGUGGAUUACGGCCGCCGUUUCCGCCGCCGCAGCUUAUAUUUCCACAAUAUAGAUACCGAUCCUAUGCCCCAAAUUACACCGUUCCUUACCCCCAAGCUAUUUACAAUCCACAACUUCAACAACCACAAAUGUACCAGCAAUCACCAUCUUCAUCACCAUCUUCUUCUUCAUAUUAUUUUGGCUAUGGCUAUUCUUCUUCUUCUUCUUCACAGCAUCCAAGAGGAGCAUUUUCACCAUUAUCAUCAUCACCAUCAUAUUUUCCCUACUAUACAAAUUACACCCACAUGCAACAAGGCUUGUUCUACACUCCAAUGCAUCAGAUCAUUACUCCAAGUACUGGGGUGAUCAUCGAUUGAUUGGCGUCAGUUUGCAACCACCAACUUGUCGAUUUUGAUUGGUCGGUCGUCGGUUGUGGGAGUGUCUAUAUGAAACUGAUUGACCGACCACACAAAUGCGGUUGGCAGACUCCACAGCAUACACCAACGGAGACAGAAGCUGGGGCCAGUGGCUCCAACAGUCCAAAUACUUCAUAGAAAUUAUCUUGUUUAUAUUAUAUUCAACUAUAUUUUUCUAAAACAUUCUUCUAUAUAUUAUGUUAAUUAUCAUCAUUUUUUAGUUAGGGCAUGGAUCAUUUGUGCCUUGCAAAAUUUAGUCCAGUUAGAUGAGGGACUUCAUUGAUUUAAGGUCAAAUUAUAGAAAAUACCUCCCAAAAUACUUUGUAUUUUUUUAAA